UACGGGGGGGGCAAGCGUUGUUCGGAAUUACUGGGCGUAAAGGGCUCGUAGGUGGCCAACUAAGUCAGACGUGAAAUCCCUCGGCUUAACCGGGGAACUGCGUCUGAUACUGGAUGGCUUGAGUUCGGGAGAGGGAUGCGGAAUUCCAGGUGUAGCGGUGAAAUGCGUAGAUAUCUGGAGGAACACCGGUGGCGAAGGCGGCCCUCUGGACGGAUACUGACGCUGAGGCGCGAAAGCGUGGGGAUCAAACAGG
rnacentral:rRNA from 1 species